rnacentral:lncRNA from 1 species
GCAGAAGGACCGAGAGAUGCCUGCACACCAGCCCCGCCGGCAGGCCACCAGGCCCGCAUCCAAGGCGGUGGGUGAGGCCCUGGCUUCACGCUGCACAAGGCCCCUGCGUUUCAAGUCUGGCCGGCCAAGAAAAUGGCCACGGGGCUCUGAAGCCGGGGAGCAAUUCCUGAGCAGGUGGGAGGGAAUGCUGCUGGGUUCUGUGAGGCGUGGGAACCGCCGCAGUCACUGGCCUCGUGUAUGCCAGCGGUCAGGAGACUGGCCUCCAGCCCUGACCACAAAGCCGCACGGUUCCAGGACAUGUGGCUGGAAGCCCAGCUUCUCUGGGCACUGUGGCCCCUCCCUGUGCCGGUCCGGAGAGUCCGGCUCCAGUACCAAGCACUGGAUUUGGGGGGGCCUCUCCCCAUGACUGCUGAACAUGCCCCAGGACGGCGGGGCUCGUGGACGCCAGGCCUCUGAGGUCACCUUGGCCUGAGGGAUGGACGCGGCAGAAUGGUGGCUCUCAGGGAUCAGCAGUCAGUUUGCGGUGACUUUGAAGACGUGGUUUCAAGUCGACUGUCUCAGAGCAGAGCUGAGCAGGCCUGCUGCUGCUGGAUGCCUCCGAGAACAGCUCGUCGGUACAUGGAGCCAGUGGGAGUUGGAAGGGCAGCAGACAGUUGCCCGAAGCCUGGAGAGCCUGGCAUGGCCUGCUCCCCCAAGCCCAGCCUGCAGCCGCAUGCCUCCUUCCCAGCUUCCGGGGCCUCGUAACUUGGCAUCCCAGCACCUUCNNNNNNNNNNNNNNNNNNNNNNNNNNNNNNNNNNNNNNNNNNNNNNNNNNNNNNNNNNNNNNNNNNNNNNNNNNNNNNNNNNNNNNNNNNNNNNNNNNNGCCUCCUUCCCAGCUUCCGGGGCCUCGUAACUUGGCAUCCCAGCACCUUCCUGAAGGCUCUUGACCCCGUGAUGCCCUCCUGUCAUGCUGGACCAGCGCCCUGGAUGGCAGCUUCCCUCCUCUGUGAGGGGCCUCAGCACUGCCCUUCUGAGUCCAUUACGGCCACAGGAAAGGAUCUCCAGGGAGUCCCUGACCCGCCGAGCCCACCGGCGGGGGUGGGGACCACACAUCCCCAGCCUCGAGGCUGGCGGAUGGCCCAGCACCACGGCCGGGAGGCCUCUCAGGAAGAAAGCACGGGUGCCCGUUGCGGCUGAGGACGACUCAGGAUCCCUGGGGACGGAAAGGUGUGAGCAAGGGUGUCCUUGAGGCUCCUGACCCCCUUCACUCCUUGCUCCCAGGAAGGGGAAGGGAGUGGGAGCCAGUCUCUCGGCCACAGGGAAGGGAACGGUCAGUGUGAAGGGGCAGUGGCUGGUGUGGCCGCGGUGCUGGGAGAUGGCUUCCAGGGGGCGACAUGGGUCCCCCCAAGAGGGCUGUGGCAGGCCGGCCUGAGGAGCCCCACGGAGCAGGGUCCGGGGGACCGGGGGCCUCCAUGCUCCAGCAGUGCCCCCAGCCCUUCCUGAUACAGCUGCUGCUUGGAGGGCAGCGGGGUCCCUGUUCACAGCCCGGGGCUUCUGAGCCUGCCCUGGGGUGCCUGCUUCGCUCCUCUGCCUCACUUAGCUCUCUCUUCAUCAGAGGAGGAGGAUAACCUAGAAGCCACCUAGCGUCCACAUCCACUCAGCAGACCAACCACUCCCGCCCAGCUGGACCCGGCAACCCUCCUGGGACCCCAGUCCUGCGUGGCUCUCUGCUCUGUGCCUGCAGACUCGGGUUCCAGGAUGUUCCAGGAUCUGGCAGGUCUAGGAUGCUCCAGGCUCUGUGGAGCCCACGGGGUGAACCUGGCCACCGUGCCUACCCCCGGGCAAUCUGUCCUGUUAAUGUCCUGCUCCUUUCAGCUCGGGCCAAGUCUGGGGAGAGCCGGGGCAGGCUGGGGAGAGGAAAGCAGAGUUGACGGCGGGGUUGCCGUGGUCCCCACGCCCCUGGCCCUGCCUUCCCUUCUGUGGCACCAGCUGCCUGGAGUCCCAGCCUCCAGGGCCCACACUCGCAGGUCAAGCAGAGCGGCUCGGGGCAGAGGUGAGCCCCACCCACGCCGAAGGCUGGGCUUCCCGGACAGCCCUGGAGGGCGUGAGGUCGUCCAGGCCUGUGUCCUGACCUCCCCUGCGCAGGGAAGGGGUGGCUCGAGCAGAACAGAUCAUUUCACAUUUUCGCCCCAGGUCACAGAACAAGUUAACACAGUCACAUCAGCGACCUGGGCCUCCAGAUUUCUAGUCCGGCAUUAAUUUAAAUGUUAAUCUGAAAUCUUCACUUAAGUCACUGGAGUUUCGAGUUUAUUAGAGCAGGCGGCGGGCCUGAAGCCUCCUGGGGGGGUUGGCGGGUCACGUUGCCUGCCAGAGGGCGAGCCCUCCCCCCAGCUGGGCCUGCCUGUCUCCUCCCUCUGUCUGCCUCCUCCUCUCUCCUGGCCUUUUCUCUCUCUCUUGCUGGGAGUGAGAUUUGGAAACGGGGAGGAGACGAGGCGGGUGUCGGAGCCGUCAGGAUAGUCCCUGGGGGCUGCAGAGGGCAGGCUGGGGGCACUCCACUCCCAGCCCUGUGGGUGAGGACAGUGCCCAGGAAGCCUGCAGCCUGCUGGCCCCUCUGCUGACACCACUCCUGCAAGAGAACACGUGUGACAUGGGGGUCCAGACCCCUCUUCCCAUGGCCCACUCCUGCACCCGCGUUCAAGGACCUGAAGUCUGCAAGGUGACGCAAAGAACAGGGAAGUCCCAGGAGUAGGUCGCAGCCAGGCCCUCAAGGCGCUUGCAUUUGCCUGGAGGGCAGCAAGCUCAGCAAGGGGCACAGAAACCCACAGUGCGGGGUGGGGGCUGCAGACACCCCGCCUGGACCAGUAGGGUGAGCGAGGCUGCCUGAACCCCCAGAGCCACCCGCAGCAGUUGGUCCAGGUGCCAGCGUGGGCGACCAGCAGAUUCUCCUGGGCAGAUGCUAAGACACAGAGCGGGGAGGGGCCCAGGCUCUGCCUGCAUCCUACCACCAAGCUACCUGUCUCCUUUAAGCAGGGCCCCAGCUCCUCCAGGGAGUUGAGCCCUGACCCCUGGGGGCUGCUGUCCUGACGAGGGCAGCGCCCCCCCCCACCCGUCAAAGGAUGCUCAGUCUCCUGCAAGUGGAAGUGGUGCCCAUUGCUUAAGUCUUUCUUGAAAGUUUUGUCCACAAGACCCAGAAGUGUGGGGUCCAGUGGCACUGAUGUUCCAUGAGGGGUGGGUGGGAAAUGAGCUGAGAGGCCAGAGACGAGCCGCCCCAGUGACCCUGAGCCGGGGCCUGGAGGAGCACAGCCCCCCGGGAGUCCUCCAGGGCUGGAGACCCCAGCAGCCCAGAGCCCCCAGGGGAAGCGUGAGUGCCGGCCAGGCACACGGGAAGCCGGCUGGGCCUGGGAGCAAGUCUCGGCUUCAGGCGCCCUGCAUCUUGUAGCCACCUUCCUCCUCCCCUCCCUCUCCCGCUGUCAUGGGCAGAGCUGUGUCUGCCGGGAUUUGUGCCCUGCCCCGGCACCGGUGGAGGUGACCUUAUCUAGAGACAGGGUCUCGGCAGAUGGUCAAGCUCAGAUGAGGUCAUUAGGGUGACUGGGUCUGGGAAGGAGAGGAGAGACCCAGAGACCAGGAGGGAGGGAGACACGGAUGAAGACCCUCGGGGUGGCAGGCGCAGAGGCUGAGGCUAUGCGCCUGCAAGCUGACGGUCAUCAGCCUCCGCUCUAUGUCGGUAGAGGCGGGAAAGGCCCUCCUCAGAGGUUUCAGGAGGAAUGCGGCCUCGCCGACACCUCGACUUCAGACCUCUGGUGUCCAGAACCAUGAGGAAACGCACCUCUACUGUUAAGCCCCCUGGCACCCCGGGCACCACAUCUCAGCUGUGCCCGGUGCAGAGACGCGGCGUGAGGAAGGCACGGGCGAGGGCGGGGAGAGUCACGGCACGCGCGUGGCUGGACCUCAGAGCUUCCCGAGCACCGACGCUUGAGCCAGGCUCUGAGGACAAGCAGGAGACGGCCAGGCGGGACCGACAGAGACCACCAGCUCCCAGGAGCGGGUGUUUCCCACCGCGGGAGCAGCUGUGUCGGCCGGAGAACGAUGUAUCAGCAUUUGACCGAUGGAAUGACGCUAUUGUACAGUCGUGUCUUCCUUGCCCCACUUUUCUCAUUCAGUUCUUUACUAUCAGUAUAUUCUCGACGUGCUGCGCGACGGUGACUGUUAUCAAAGCUGCGUAUAAUAUCCCACCGAGAAGAUGCACCGUAAUCUCCUUAACUCUUCUACCCGCUCCUGUCAAGUCGUUUCAGAUGUUUAAAGCGGGGAAAAUUUAGCCUUACAAAGGAUCCUCAUUAGCAAAAUAGCUGCUUUUUAAAUGAACCUGGAGACAUCAUUGUGUCUCAUGCAUCUGACCAUUCAAGAAAUAUUAAAGCCCUUUCCCUCUUCUGGGCACUGUACCAGGUGCAGGAGUUACAAAGGAAGGUAAGAGAAGACCAGCAUCCUGACCACAGCCACUCAGGGUUUGCAGAGGACAGAGGAGUGUGGGUCAGCUCCAGGAAGGAGAGCCUCAUGUGCUCCGAGACGUUCUGAGAUUAGGAAAGGCCGUAUUUUGGUGCCGUUCUAUCUUCCCACACUGCUGGGCUGCCCAACAGCAAUGAAGGGAGUGAUGUGUGCAGGGCCAGGCCUCAAGGGGCCUGGGAGCGUUCACCUUUGCCCUCUCGGAAUGUCUGACUGUCCUGUUCAGAGCCCAGAGGGAUUGCUGACCGAGAGGUCACAUGGGGACGGGCGGAAGCCAAGAGCCAGCACCCAGGCCCCAGACCCUCCCUGGGGGCCACUGCAGGACUCAGGCACACGAGUGAGCUCAGGUGGAACCUGAAGGCCGCCAGCCCACUGCAGCCCACCCCGGGAGGAUGGUCGGUUCACAGGCAGGCCUCUGAGGGUGGGAGGGCUGCACACGGGAGGGUGCAGGCGGCUGGGUGCAGGUGAGGCGUGUCCAGGCUCCUUGGGAGGGAGACCAGCAGAUGCUAAACGCCAGUGUGAGGUCACAGUGUGUCUGAGACAGUGGGAAAAGAAGCCCGUCCACACGCCUGAGCAGGAGCGCAUGAGAGGAGUGGGGCUUGUGAGGAGGCCACGGGCAGAGCAGGUCUGUGAACGGGUCACUAGUCUUGGGGCUGCCUGGAACACGUCAUCGGUCUACGUGAUUGUCUGGAGGCUAAGAGAGCCCCGAGGCCACCUGGNNNNNNNGAUGGCUACGCAGUGCCUGCCAUGCAGUGCCUGCCCACCACAAAGCCCCUGAUGACAGAGAGGAAAUGUACUGCAGCGCACAGCCCUGGGUGGGGUCAGCAGAAGGAUGGCGUGUGUGCCGGCCCAAGACGGCAUCCACUAUGCUAACAGCCGUGCAGUAACUCAUGAUCCAACUUGACCAGUCUCUCAUAAGAGGAACCUCGGGCUUCCCUGGUGGCCCGGUGGUGAAGAGUCCGUCUUGCAGUGCAGGGGACACUGGUUCGAUCCCAGGUCCAGGAAGGACCUACGUGCCACGUGUGCCACAACUACUGAGCCCGCCCACCGCAACUACUGAAGCCUGAGCGCCUGGAGCCCUUGCUCCGCAAUGAGAAGCCGUGGCCGUGAGAAGCUUGCACACAGCUAGAGAGUAGCCUCCACUCACCACGGCUAGAGGAAGUCCUCAUGGCAAUGGAGACCCAGCACAGCCACGAUACAUAAGCAAGAUUGAAAGAAAGACCUUACCUCCAAAUACAAUUACAUUCAUAGGUACAAGGGGGGGGGGACUU